ACAGUAACUGUGUCAGGAGCUGACAGCUCUUCAUCUCCUGUGUGGUUGAUUGUUGGACUGGUUUGUGGAGUCUCUCUCAUUAUUAUUCUCCUGCUCUUGUUGUAUCGCUGCAGAAGAACCAACAGUCCUGCUAACGAGCAGACGCUCAAUCAGGAUGAAGAUCAGCAGCACGUGUACUCCUCUCUUCUUCAUGGUGAUCGUUGUGUCUAUGAGACAGUCAGAAGAUGUGAAAACACUGAAAAUGGGCAACGUGGUGACCCAGAGGAGAGCUCUGACUACAAUGAUGUCAAUGCAAAUUCAGCCACAGCUCUAAAAUCUUAACAGCAGCUCUUUAGCUGUUUUUCUCUUUUUCCUUGUAAAGUCUCUUUGAACUUGAAGUGACUUUGAGUGAAAAGGAGAAGAUUUUGAAUUCAAAGCAAUGAUCCUGACAGCCUGAGUUUAUAUUUCCUUUAGAAAAAAUCGCUCAGUGUGUUUCACUUGUUUCUCUCCCAUUAGAUAAUAAUUUUAAUAAACUGAUCUACAGCA
ensembl:lncRNA